ensembl:snRNA U4 U4 spliceosomal RNA
AUCAUGCAGUGGUGGUAUCACAGCCAAUGAGGUUUACCCAAGGCACAAUUAUUGCUAGUUGAAAACUUACUCCACCAUGAUGACUUGAAAUAUGAUAUAUUUUGGAUGGGUCUAGAAAAUC